ensembl:lncRNA
CACUCUGGUUCGAGUCCAGGCUGUAUCACAACCGGCCAUGAUUGGGUGUCCCAUAGGGCGGCGCAUAAUUGACCCAGCGUCGUCCGAGUUUGGCCUGUGAGUGCUGUCAUUGUAAAUAAUAAUUUGUGGUGAAAUGCAUGGUGAUGUAUUUUGUCAACUUCCUCUGCUUACUCCUCCUAGUGGCAGACUUUGCAGUGCCUCCGUUUUCCAACUACCUUGAGCAGCAGUUUGAGAGACUUUGCAGGGAAAAUGCCGUGCAGUGAGGCGUAGGGGAUUGUCCGCAGCAUGACGGCCCCCAGUGGAUGGGCACAGAGGGGUCUGGUGCUCCUCCAGCAGCUCUCUCAUGAGGUUCUCUCUGUACUUUUGGUGGUCCACCUUCCCUGUGGCCGACAUAGUUGCUGUAUGGACAGUGGAGAGGACAUGGACUUCUCGUUUGUCAUGCCACUUUACUGCCAGCUGUUGACUGUUCUCAAACUCCACCUUCCCUCUCUGCAUCUUCCUGCAACCGAAUUCCGACAUCCCCUUCUUGUUCGACCUGACUGUGCCACAGGCCCCUGUGCUGUUAGAGAGCUUAUGCUGGAAGAGUGUGGGACUGCUGUACCAAUUGUCCACAUACAAAGUGUGUCCCUUGCUGAGAUGAGGAGCAAUUAUGGUCAUCACCAUGGACCCGGACACCCCAAGCCCCUCAUAAUGUUGGAUGUGGACCCUGUGUAAACUAUAAUGUCCUGGACAUAUCCUGUCUUUACGUCGCACAUGACAAAGAACUUGAACCCAAACCUGUGCAUAUUGGAGGGAAUAUAUUGACAGAACGCCAGCCUACCUUUCCAUAACAUCAGGGACUCAUCAAUGCAUAGGUCCUUGUAUGGCACAAAGACCUGACCAAAUGCUGAUGUCAGGCUGGUAAGAACAUUUCUUAUUUUGUAUUACGGGUCAUUUAGGUUGGCAGUAGCAUUGUUGACUAAAUGCAGUCAUCACAGCAGAACUAGGUAGCGGUCUUGGGAAAAGAGGGUGUAAUAGAAGGGAGUUGCAAACAUAGCAUCUGUGCUUCAGUAUUCUCUUAGGGAGUUCUUCUUUACUAUCCCCAUGAGAAGGACUGUGACCAGGAAGGUAUACAUUUCAUUAAUUGUGGUUGUCACCCAUUUAGUGAGUUUCCCCCCCAAGCCUGGCUCUCUCUUCUCCUGUAGCUCCAAGGCAUAGUGAUUGGUCUCCUCUACUAUGUCUCCCACCAGCUCCUCUGUCAGAAACAACUUGAAGCACUCUGCCUCAGAUGCAAAUGGUAUGGGGCUUUGCACUCCAGACUGGGACUCAUCAAAGCAAACAGCAGGGCCAGGAAGGGUUAUAUGGCUGGUGGCCUUCCAGCUACCACAGAACUCCUGUACUUCAUCCACUGUCUGUCUGCCUUCAUGACCACCAGCAUCUUCAAAGGGACCUUGGACUUCGUCACUGGACAAGAGGUUCUCAGAUUCAGGGUUCUCAAUGUCUACAAGGUUGGGGGGCAGCUCCUCAAUGGCACUGGCACUGUCAGAAUCUUUUUCCUGACUUUCAUACUCAGUCUCAUUGUCAGAUUUUUUAAAAAUCUCUAGAAUUUCCGCAUGUGUGAGUUGUCUACUUUUGAAAGACAUUGCUAAUGCUACAGCUUAGCUCACUAGCUACAUACAUAAACAACAACACUGAAGGGCUCAGAGUGAGAGGUUACGUGAUUGACUGCUUUCGCGCGCCACUUGUAUCAAUAAAUCACUAUCAGAAAAUGUUUUGUGGUAAUUAUUGAUAUAUUUACUGUUAUUUUCACAUGUUUUCAAGUACCAGUGACAAAUCAUGCAUUCCGAUUCUUGUGUAGAUUGUAAUGGGCACAUAUUAUGUGUGUAAAAUACUUUUUUGAGGGUUGUACUGAUUAUAAUGAGCUAAUCUAAUUCCAGUUGUGUGUGAAGCCAUGUUUGUUGACAUGCAAUGCAUUCUGGGUUUCACAUAAUGCUGGGAUUCACGUCUGUCGGACCAAAGAUGUUAACAAAAUGAGGUGAGUAAGGAUUCACUCAUUUUUUUGAGAACUUCCAGAAAUUAAUGGUGGGAUGUGAACAAUGGUAGACGACACACCCCCUUCAACAUGCAUUCUAUUUACAGACCAAACUCGUCUUCUCUUAUCUUUGGUUUCUGUGAGCAAAAAUAGCAUAGCAGCGCACAGAAACUACCCAUAGUCGGAUUACUUUCAAUUUUUGGAGAAUGUUUUACUCAAUUAUUUAGAUCAAUAGUGAGCUCACCUGUGAUGUGAUGAAUUAUAAAUAGUCAUUUCUAUUAGCUAAUUCAUAUUGUAGUUUCUGUCAGUCGAGAGUACAACUCGACAUGACCGUUUGUGUUAUAGCGCGAGGACAAAUGUAGCCUACAUUUUUACGGUUUGGAUGAUUGUGUUAUGCUGUAGAUAUUUCUGUGAAUGUCUGAAC